rnacentral:rRNA from 1 species
AGUAACUAUGACUCUCUUAAGGUAGCCAAAUGCCUCGUCAUCUAAUUAGUGACGCACAUGAAUGGAUUAACGAGAUUUCCACUAUCACUGUCUACUAUCCAGCGAAACCACAGCCAAGGGAAUGGGCUUGGCGGAAUCAGCGGGGAAAGAAGACCCUGUUGAGCUUGACUCUAGUUCGACUUUGUGAAAUGACAUGAGAGGUGUACGAUAAGUGGGAGCCCUCACGGGCGCAAGUGAAAUACCACUACUUUUAACGUUAUUUUACUUGUUCCGUGGGUCCGAAGCGGGGCAUGUCCCCUCCUUUUGGCUCCG